CCGAAACAGGUUUGAAAACCAAUUGAAAGCUAAAUCACAAGCUAACUUGCGGACCUCGAUCAACAAAUCAAAUGAACCAAAGGAAAGCUUGAAAAGAGGUAUGGACUGACGGUACUGGUCGUCGAUUUUGGUGAUGAUGGAGAUCUGGCAGACUACAGAAUCACUAAAAUAGGUCUCUUUGGAUAUUUGCCGGAGAAACAAUCCAACCACCCAUCUCUGAUCUCUACUUUCUCUCUCUCCAUCUCCCUAUCUUUUCGCUCAACCUCUCCCUCUCUCUAUCGAACUUGUCCUGGUGUUGUGUUUGUGUGCUUGUUACCGUGAGGGUGAGUAUCAUCAAGAAGAAAAGGAUAAUAGAUUUUUCUUUUUUAGUUUUUUGUAUUGAUGAUGGAGUAGUCUGUGGAAUCUCAAUUGGAGAAGAUGGUGGAUGAUCUCCUUCUUUUUGUGUGAAUGAAUUUUUGGUAUGGUUUUUCUAUCUGAGAAUGUGAUUAUGAUGAUGAUAUGUGUAUAUAUGUAUUUAUCGCCACAUCCUCUUUCCCCAAUCCCAAGCCCAAGCCUAUGUCCAAGCUCCAUAUAUUCCUCCCCACCAUUACUACCCUCCGCAAAACCCACCAUAUGCCAUUCCACCCCCUUUGUACACAGUAUAUAGAAUGCAACCAUAUGCCCAAACCCCUUUUUACCCGCAAUGGUGCGCACAAGCUCCACAAAAUCGUCCAUCAGCUCCUCCAAAUUACCAAAACCCCUCUAGACUUGGUUUCCCACCCAGGCCUGAGUACAAGAAGGAAAAGGCGGUCAAAAAUCAGUUCACACCUCAUGGGGAGUCAUAUGCUAGUUUUUUUGAUAGGUUAAGAAAGAUGAAGGUCUUAAGCCCAAUUCAAGAAUGGCUUACAAAUCCGCCUUCGAGGAAUCUCGAUUAUUCUUUAAGGUGUAAGUACUGUUUUGACAUGCUAGGCCACGAUAUCGAGAAAUACUGGCAUUUAAAGAGAGUUAUCCAAGAUUUAAUUAAACCAAAUGAUCAAGUUUGAGCAUGACAGGCAAGAAGUGGUUAUUAUAGUGAAGGGGAUUUGUCUGCCUAUGAAGAUUAUCCUUAGUUCCUUAUUGAAGAAAACAAUGUAGAAGAGACAUUUUUCUAUCAAACUUUUGAUACAGUGCUAGUAGAUCGUAUCCUUGGAGGACAGGUUAUGCCACAAUUGUCUUCCACUUCUAUUAUGAUGGUGAGUGAGCUUUUGAAAUAAGGAUUUAUGCCAGGGAAGGGUUUGGGAAUGUCUCUGCAUGGUAUCGUUCGUCCCAUAUGUUCGAGAGAGAACAUGGGCACUUUUGGUCUGGGAUUUGAACCUACGGCUGAAGAUUUGAAGAAGGCCAAGGGUAGGAAAAAGGAAACAUGGUCACUCCCUCGCCCAAUGCCGCUACUCAGGGAAUCAUUUGUCAAGAGCGAUGUCAUGAAACCUAUAGAAUUUGAAGCUGAAUUAGUUGGUGACUUCCUGAACCUACUGAUUGAUGUUGACAUGGUUGAAACGGAAUAGGGUACCAACAAGGCGGAUGUGCUAUUCAUAGGUCCUGAGGUCUAGCUCAACAAUUGGGAAGUCACUCCUCUCCCCAUCAGGAGGAAGUUUUGGUAGUUCAUUUUGUUUUUAUUUCUAUUUAUCCGAGUCAUUCCGGGGUUGUAAUUCAGAAUCUAGCUUGUUUACAUUCUAUUGUCAUUUGUGUUUAAACCCUCAUAUCUUUUCCUUUUUAAUGAAAUGCAAUGUGCCCUUAUUUUGUGUCUAAUAUAUUUUGUUUUCGUCUUUUUCUUUAUACAGUUCUCUUUAUGCUGAUUCUAAUGACAUGACAUGCAUGCUGAAUUUUUAGCCUGAUCUUAAAAUACAAACUAAUCAAGAUAUAAGGAAGCAAGAGGUGGAAUAUUAUGAAGAAAAGGCACUAGAAGAAAUAAGCAAAGAGUUGGAACAGUUUAAAGGCAAACCAAAUCUCAAUUUGAAUGAAACUGAGCCAAUAAAUCUAGGGAAUCAAGAAGAUGUUAGGGAAACUAAAAUCAGUGUACAUGCUUUGCCGCAGCUAAAAGAUGGAAUGAUUCAAGCAUAUAUUGAUUAUAAGGAUGUUUUUGCAUGGUCUUAUGAUGAUAUGCCUGGUUUAAGCACUAAAUUAGUGUCUCAUAAAUUGCCAACUGAUUCUACAUUCCCCCUAUGAAACAGAAGUUGAGGAAGUUUAAAACUGAUGUAAGUAUCAAAAUCAAAGAAGAAAUCAUGAAACAACUUAAAGCCAAAGUAAUUCGAGUGGCUAGUUAUCCUACGUGGUUAUCCAAUGGUGUUCCUUUCCUAAAGAAAGAUGGAAAAAUUUGAGCAUGUGUUGAUUACCGUGAUUUGAACAGAGCAAGUCGGAAGGAUGAUUUUCCGUUACCCAAUAUUCAUAUUUUACUGGACAAUUGUGCUAAACACGAGGUUGCCUCUUUUAUGGAUUGUUAUGCUGGAUACCACCAGAUCAUUAUGGAUGAUGAAGAUGCGGAAAAGACGUCUUUUAUCACAACAUGGGGGACUUAUUUCUAUCGAGUGAUGCCGUUUGGCUUGAAGAAUGCUAGAGCAACAUACAUAAGAGCCAUGACCACUAUGUUUCAUGAUAUGAUGCAUAAGGAGAUUGAGGUCUAUGUAGAUGAUGUGAUUAUUAAGUCAAAAAGUCAGGAUGACCAUGUUAAAGAUUUAAGAAAGUUCUUUGAAAGGAUUCGCAGGUAUAAUCUCAAGUUCAACCCACAAAAUGUGUAUUUGGAGUUUCGUUUGGAAAUCUAUUGGGGUUUGUAGUCAGCCGCCAGGAAAUUGAAUUAGAUCCCUCAAAAAUCAAAGCCAUUCAGGAUUUGCCCCCGUCCAAGAAUAGGACAGAGGUAAUGAGUUUACUUGGUCAACUGAAUUACAUCAGAAGGUUUAUUGCUCAACUCACAACCGCUUGUGAGCCCAUAUUCAAGUUGCUGAAAAAGAGUGCUGUGGUAGAAUGGAAUGAAGAAUGUCAGGUUCAAUAGAAUCAAAAGAUACUUGUCAAAUCUACCUGUGCUGGUACCACUGGAGCCUGGUAGGCCUUUGAUCUUAUAUUUCUCAGGGACAAUUCUUUCGGUUGUGUCCUGGGUCAACAUGAUGUCACAGGCAAAAAGGAGCAGGCUAUUUAUUAUCUUAGCAAGAAGUUCACCGCAUAUGAGGCCAAGUAUACUCUUCUUGAAAGGACGUGUUGUGCCCUAACUUGGGUAGCACAGAAGUUGAAGCAUUAUCUUUCAUCCUACACUACUUAUCUCAUCUCCCACAUGGAUCCUUUGAAUUAUAUCUUUCAGAAGCCUAUGUCGACCGGUCGUUUGGCAAAGUGGCAAAUAUUGCUUACCGAGUUCGACAUUGUAUAUGUGACUCGAACCGCCAUGAAAUCCCAAGCCUUGGCAGAUCAUCUUGCUGAGAAUCCAAUUGAUGAAGAGUACGAGCCAUUAAAGACAUAUUUUCCUGAUAAAGAAGUGUUGUGUGUCGAUGAAGUCGUUAUAGAUGCUGAUCCAGGUUGGAAGUUAUUCUUUGAUAGAGCUGUCACACCCCUUUUUGACUCCAAAAUAUUUCAAUUUAAGUUCGAAAGGGUUUUUAUUAUUAAAGUGUCAAAAUGAAAGUUUUUUUCGAAAAAGGACUUUUUAUAUUCAAAACUCAGAGUCGCCACUUGGCAUAAAUCAGUUGUGCCAAGUCACCGUUGGAUAUCCUUUUCAAAACGUUAUGAAUCUUUAAACUGGUUUGCGAACAAAGAUUCUAGCUAAGGAAUUCUGUUGACCGAGGGGAAUGUGUUAGGCACCCCUUGGUCCUGUGGUUUGAGCACGGUCGCUUGGUGGAGAGUAUCGGCUAAUUUGAACACUAUGAUACGUAUAAACCAAACAAACAUUCAAAACAAACAAUCACACCAAACCAAAACAAGUCCGAAAAAUAAUGUUCAGUCCGAGUUAUAUAGUCCAAAAAAUAGAAAAAUACAGAAAUAUAAAAUCCUAUUCUAAACUAAUCCUAGACUAAACUCCAAUACCUCAGGCCUUCAUCACGAACAUCCUCCGAGUACAAAAUACCUCAAGGCAUUCCCCGGAUAAAAAUAAUACAAGUACUUCAGGGCAUUCCCCGGUCAAAUGAUACAAGUGAUCCCAAAGUAUAUAGCCAAAAGCCAUUCAAUCUCAAAAAUCAAAUAUUCUAUCAAUCCACAAUCCCUAAAUUCACCUACCCGACCUACGUUUACCUAUCUAAGCUCGAUUUAUCGCAUUCAUGCUUACCCUUAAUUGAACCAAAUGACAAUCGACCAAAAUUUAACUACACAACUUUUAUCAACUUCUUAAUUCCGCCCCAAAUUAUGAUUCAACCCCAAUUUGAGCCAAUUUCUUUGAAUAUUCCAAUUCACAACAAUCAAUCAAUCGAUAUCGACAGGCAACCACGAUGAUACAUAAAAUAUCGAAAUCAACAAAAUAAAAUCAACACAAAAUGAUUUUAUCAUACCAAGUAUCACACAAUUCAAAAUUAAUUGAGAAUAAAAUAAAAAAUGAAACUUAAUGCCACUUUUAUUCAAUCAAACGGAGGAGCUUCGCGGAUUCGGAACCUCGACUUAACCGACUUUGAACAAAAUCUUAUUUGGUGUUGAAUUUAACCCCGAAACAGGUUUGAAAACCAAUCGAAAUCUAAAUCACAAGCUAACUCGCGGACCUCGAUCAACAAAUCAAACGAACCAAAGGAAAGCUUGAACGGAGGUGUGGACUGACACUAAUGGUCGUCAAUUUUGGUGAUGACGGAGCUUCAGUGGACUACAUAAUCACUGAAAUGGGUCUCUCCGGAUAUUCCCCAGAGAAACAAUCCAAUCACCCAUCUCUGAUCUCUACUUUCUCUCUCUCCAGCUCCCUCUCUUUUCGCUCAACCUCUCCCUCUAUCGAUCGGACUUGUCCUGGUGUUGUAUGUGUGUGCUUGUUACCGUGAGGGUGAGUAUCAUUAAGAAGAAAAGGAUAAUGGAGUUUUCUUUUUCAGUUUUGUGUAUUGUGAUGGAGUGGUCUGUGGAAUCUCAAUUGGAGAAGUUGGUGGAUGAUCUCAUUUUCCUUUUUUUUUUUUUUGUGAAUGAAUUUUUGGUAUGGUUUUUCUAUCCGAGAAUGUGAUUAUGAUGAUGAUGUGUGUAUAUAUGUAUUUCAUCGCCUUAAAACAAAAUGGUUCCUUUUGGGCUUUCCUUGAAGUUUCCUAGUGGGGUCCUUUCUAAUGUUUAUCCCUUUUUGCCUUUGUAGACAAGAAAUAUGAGAGGGAAGGGGUCACGUGGGUAUGGGGUGUUGGGGGUAGGGGUAUGGGUAAUGUGUCUUCUUUUAAUUGAAAGGGUUGUUAGGAUUUUAAAAAGAAUAAAAGUUUGUUAGGGAUUUUGUUGAGAGUUAUUUUUUGUUGCUAGGAUGUUAAAAAGAAUAAAAGUUUGUAAGGGAUUUUGUUGAGAGUUAUUUUUUUGUAUUUUUGUGGGAUGUAAUUAUAUGGGUGAGGGUACACGGUAGGAUAAGGUAAAAAUGGGUAAAACAAUAUUGGGGAGGGACGAAAUUACAUGUUUACAAGAGCAAGUGUCUUGAUGGGGUACUCUAGCAGUCAGAAGGGAUAUCUGAUAUAUGAUAUGUCUUCUAACAUCUUCUCUUUGAGUGGAGAUGUGUCAUUUAGGGAAGAUAUAUUUCCAUUUAAACUGCUCAAGAAUCAAACUCAGUCACCUCAUCAUAUCUUUCCUUUGGAAGACCAAUAUCUAGUGCUAGGUGAUGCUGGGACAUCUCUGCAAAUUCCAGUAACUAGGUCACCUCAAGGGGUUCCUGAUUCAGUUAAUCAGCUUGAGCAACAACUGCAGGUUGUUCCUACUCCUGCACAGUCUAUAACUCGGUGUAUUAAAGAAGACCAACUAGAGGUCAUCCUACUCCUGCACAAUCACAGUCUAUAACUUAGGUGCAUCAAAGAAGAUCAACUAGAGAUCAAGGGGCUCCUAAGUUAGAUAAUCAGUAAGAGCAGCAACUGUAGGUUGUUCCUACCCUUGCACAGUCCAUAACUCAGACUUCUGCACCUCAGGAUCAAAGAAGAUCAACUAGAGGUAGAAAGCCGCCAGUAUGGAUGAAUGACUUUGUUUCCAAAAGUACAAAGAAAGCACCUCAUGCUCUUGUUAAUCAUGUGUCAUAUGAUAAACUCUCAUCAUCCUAUAAUAGCUAUGUGCUGAAAACUUCAUGUGUUGCUGAACCUAGAAGUUACUCUAAGGCCUAUAAAAAUCCUAGAUGGGUGGAAGCAAUGAAAAAUGAGAUAGAAGCUUUAAAUUCCAUCAUACUUAGGAGAUUGUUACUCUGCCUAAAGGAAAGAAGUCUAUUAGUUGCAAGCACCAAGUUAAUGGAAUACCAAGUUAUCAAAGGUAUUGCUAAGAGCCCAAUUCACUCAGAGUCAAUAUGAUCCAUCCUUAUACAUUAGAAAGACAUCAUAAGGAGUCACUCUUGUGCUAGUAUAUGUUGAUGAUAUGCCCUUUCCUCUUCCGACGUNNNNNNNNNNNNNNNNNNNNNNNNNNCUGGAGCUUGGACAGCACGCCCAGGCUAACUAGAGCGUGGACAAUAUAUGGGGGGCCACCAUCGGUGAACAAAGAUUGGGAUGGGCCUGGCUUUGAUACUAUGUGAAAAUUGGUCUUGGGCCUACCUCACACCCCAAAAGCUAGCUCAUGAGGGGAGGAUUUCCCAAGACCAUAUAAGGAGACCAAGGACCCUUUAAACCCAUGAUAUGGGACUCCAACAAAAACUGAUAGAAGAAACUAAGGCAAUUCUACACCAAAACUUCAGGAUGAAAAAUCUAGGUGAGCUGAGAUUUUUCCUUGGAAUAGAAUUUGCAAGAUUUGAUAAAGGGGUGUUAAUGCACCAAAUAAAAUAUGCAUUGAAUUACUAUCUGAGUUAGGCUUAACAACAGCCAAGCCUGCAGCUACUCCAAUGGAUUAUAACAUCAAACUAACAACUAACAGUUUGAUUAGUAUGUCAAGCAAGGAUAGUCUACCACCAACCAAUCAAGUUGCUUACCAGAAAUUGAUUAGUAAGUUGUUCAUUUAACUAUGACAAGACCAGACAUAGCCUUUUGUGUUCAAACAUUAAGUCAGUUUCUUCAAUAUCCUAAGAAGUCACACAUGGAGGUAACACUUAGAGUUGUGAAGUAUGUUAAAAAUCAACCAGAUGUUGUCUAGUGAUACAAAUGCAAAGUGAGUGCUUAUUGUGGUGCAGCAUCCUGUCUUCAAACUAGAAGAUCUGUAACUGGCUAUUUUGUGAAGGUUGGAGAAUCAAUAGUAUCCUAGAAAUCAAAGAAACAAACUAAUGUUUGCAAGAGCUUAGCUGAGGCAGAAUUUAGAAGUCUUGCAGCAGUAGCAACAGAGUUGAUAUGAAUUCUAGGUCUGAUGAAGGAAGUUGGAAGUGAAGUAGUGCUACCUGUCAGUGAUAGCAAGUCUGCUCUACAAAUAUCAGCAAAUCCAAAAUAUCAUGGGAGGAUAAAACAAACUGAUAUAAAUUGCUUCUUUAUCAGGAAAAACUUGUUCAAGGGAAAAUCUGGACUCACUAUACUCCAACUCAAGAUCAACCUGCAGACAUGCUAACUAAGGGGCUGACAAGAGCACACGAAGUUCAUCUCAAUGACAAGCUAGAAAUUUGUGACAUUUUCACACCUUCCUAGCUUGAGGGGGAGUGUAGAAUAUGUAAAGAAUGCAGCAGAACAAUGA
rnacentral:lncRNA from 1 species